AGUAAGGAAUGAAAAGUCUAAUUGAGUUAAAAUAGCUCAAAAUGAAAAGAGAACGGUGAAUUUUGUAUUGAAUAAGCUUUUAAUUUUUUGAGAAUGGUUACCCAUGUUUUAAUACAUUCUUGAAAACUUAAAGACAAGUGUAUGAUAUUUGGCAUUUAUCUCUGUCUGAUUGGAAAAAUUAUUUUUAAAAGCUAUGGCAAGUAUGUGAACAAAAAAUGGAGAAAAUGCGUGAAUAUUGUAGAUCGAAUCAUUAAAAAAAUCCAAUAAAUGACAAGCGUAUAAAGCAUGACAA